CCUUAGUUAACCAUAUAUACGCCGGAGUUCAGUACUCAUGUAGUGUUAGACACUUAGACUAUACAAGUAUCAUUAGUCGAUCGACCAACAAUCAAACAAGAACAUGAUCGGCCAACCAAUGAUACCGCAUAGAUUUAAUAUCCACCACCCUUCACAAGCAAUCACUCAAACACAUACAGGCCAAUGUCAGGCCUACACUAACAAAAUACACAUCAAGCCUAAUCCGGUACCUAAGCCAGACUUAGGACUUAAUGUCAGAACCUGCAAGCAAAUCAAUCAACCAAACACAAUCAAGAUAAUAAGACUAUUAGUAACUACGACUCGAUCUAACUCGUAACACCGUAUAUCGGUGAUACACUAACUCGAGGGUUCCAUAACCCUCUACGACACUCUAACACAACACAACACACUACCCCGGGAAAUGGUGACUUAGUGUUCAUCCUCUCUAUCGGCAAUAUCCUAUCUUCCUACCACAAAGGCCAGAAGAAGGAACUUUCAACCGACCGCGGCCCACAGUCCUUCGGGUCACUGCCACAUUACACCGUCGUGUAAUCACUCAGCCCUAGCCAUGAUCCCGUCUCUCUGAGUCUUCCCGAUCCAACGAAUAAGGGGUUUCCUUAACACGCUGGGUACGAGGCUGAGGAAACACUAAUCACCCCUACACAAGCCUAGUAUGGGCGGGUUACGCACAUACUGUCGGCACCCUCACACAACACAAACUCAAUCUAGAACCUAACCUAAAGAUAGAGUUCCAGAUCCUAACUAGACACCGACUCCACAAGACUAACCAUAGUACCAGUAGUCCGGCCUAUAUGACCUAAGACCCUUAGUACUAAUAACUAAACAAUAAUAUCAAUACUAAACAAAUAAAUCAAACCGUUAUCCAGAUAGUCCAGCCUCCUGCUAUGAAAACUAUCCUUAAAGAUAACGGGAACCUGCACUCAACCAUAUCAACACGCAAGAAUAGAAAACAUGAUGCAUCCUAGCCCUAGUCCUAGUCAGGUUAUUAACUCAGUCCGGUUCCAUAAAUAAAAUAACCCUAAGGACUCUACCAUUCAAUAACCGUGAUCAUUCUACUCUAUAUGCGACUCGAUCUACCCUAAAUUCCAAGUGGAAUUCAAACAAACCAACUCACAGUGUUCUAGGCGAGAAACAAGCUGGUUGAUCGGAGAAGAGUUGGCCAAAACCCAAUGGACGCCUUGACUGGACUGGACUGGACUGAUCUUGACUUGGACAUAACCUCGGCUUCAUCAUGAAGAAACUGACACGUCUGGACAGACUGAUCUGGACAGAAUCUCCUUUAGCUGCUGGACAGUUCUUCGGACAUUUCGGCGGAGUAUCGAGGAGAACUUCGCUGAUCUGAACCAUGGAACUGAACUAAUCUUGGACAGCACCUCCACUUGAUUGUAGGAGAAUAUGACUGGCUUGGACGGAUUGAAUUGGACAGAGCUUCCGCGUCACAAUCGUAGAGAAUCGCCGAUUGGACGGAACUGGCAUUCUCGGUGGAGUAUCGGUCUUCAGAAUCGACCAUACUCUAGAAUCGAUCACUUCCUUUCUCUCUCUCUCUCUCUCUCUCUAUAUAGCCACGUUGACUUGACUCCCAUCUGAUCUGAUCUUCACUUGAUUGACCUUCAGUUGGACAGAACCUUCGCAAGGCGAUGACUCGAAAUCAAUAGAGAACUGAUCUCGAAAACUCUCUAAACUCUCGAAAUAGCUCGGAACCACUUGCUUUCUUUUUCUACUUUUCUCUCAAGGUUUUAACUUGGUUUGGACAGGUCUGGAUGUGAAGAAAUGAGCUGGUCGUGGGGUAUUUAUAGGAGACACCAGCCAAUCAGCUUCAGGUUGGUGGCAGCCCGUGUGUCGCUCCGCAUGGCUCCGGACGCAUGCACGGCGGCACCUCGUGCUCCACAUGGCUGGCUGCAUGUCCAGGACACAUGCAGCACGCCACCACUCCUCCCAGAUGUCAGGCUGCAUGACUGGAGCUCAUGCAAGGCGCCACACAUCCUCACACAUGUCGAUCAACAUGCUUCGGUAGCAUGCGUCGCGACAUCUCGUGCUUGGCCGAUCCACCUCGUGCUUCUACAUGUCAAGCUGCAUGUGCAGCUCCAUGCACGGCGACACCUCGAGCUUCUCUUGACACUCAGAUGGUUAGACAGUUGCCACCACGUUCUUAUCCCUUUGAUCAAGCCACCUCGAGCUUCUCGGUUCUUUGCGCGAUUUCGACCCUUCUUGUGAAUUUCUGACCCGCGAUCAAUCCUUAAUAUUUUUCCGCUCCCAUUCUGAUUCUCUGAUAUUUUUAAUAAACUACAGAUGAUGUCUGAUAUCCUUUAAAAAUAUUCCCGAGCCUCCGGCUUCCGCCAAAGAAUUUCGUAAUACCGAAAUUAGGGUUUUCGCCCAACUUCGGGUUUUCCCGUCGUGCAUCAAUCCCGUCGUGCUUGCUUCCCAUCCUGCUUAAUUCCCGUCCUGCUUCCGACUUAUAAUGUCUUCAGAAUAAUAUUUU
rnacentral:lncRNA from 1 species